UACGAAGGGGGCUAGCGUUGCUCGGAAUUACUGGGCGUAAAGCGCACGUAGGCGGCUUUGUAAGUUAGAGGUGAAAGCCCAGGGCUUAACCCUGGAAUUGCCUUUAAGACUGCAUCGCUAGAAUCGUGGAGAGGUGAGUGGAAUUCCGAGUGUAGAGGUGAAAUUCGUAGAUAUUCGGAAGAACACCAGUGGCGGAGGCGACUCACUGGACACGUAUUGACGCUGAGGUGCGAAAGCGUGGGGAGCAAACAGG
rnacentral:rRNA from 1 species